rnacentral:rRNA from 1 species
CGCGGGGCUUCUCCUGACGUACUAGCACUAUCUGCAGCGUAUUAACCACAGUAGUUUCUUCCCUGACAACAGAGCUUCAAGCCCGUAGGCCUUCUUCACUCACGCGGCAUUGGUGGAUCAUGCUGGCGCCCAUGGUCCAAAAUUCCGCACUGCUCCCUCCCGUAGGAA